CCCAGACCCCCAAAUCUCCAAUUUCUCACAAGUGAAUUUAGGCAAACUAAAGAAGACAUCUCUGUUCCGUUCAAUACUUCUUCAAGAUCUUGGAUAAUUAGUGGUGUGGAAAGUAAAGAAGUCACAGGUUGGGACAUUUAGACAAGAGUGAAUCACACACGAGGAAUGUGUUCAUUCUUUUAUUGUCCGUUGUUUUAACCUGACUGAAUACAAGAUCAACAAGAGCACUGUACUCCUGGCAAUUAUUACAUAUGUUAGAACAUGGAUUUUGCACUGUAGACAACAUUUAACACCAGUCUAUGGGGUACUGCAUUGCUUUUUAUAAAGUUCAAAAUAAAGAUUUAUUUUCAAACAA
rnacentral:lncRNA from 1 species